rnacentral:rRNA from 1 species
GACGAACGCUGGCGGCGUGCCUAAUACAUGCAAGUAGAACGCUGAAGCGAGGAGCUUGCUCUUCUUGGGUGAGUUGCGAACGGGUGAGUAACGCGUAGGUAACCUGCCUUGUAGCGGGGGAUAACUAUUGGAAACGAUAGCUAAUACCGCAUAACAAUGGAUGACACAUGUCAUUUAUUUGAAAGGGGCAAUUGUUCCACUACAAGAUGGACCUGCGUUGUAUUAGCUAGUAGGUGAGGUAAUGGCUCACCUAGGCGACGAUACAUAGCCGACCUGAGAGGGUGAUCGGCCACACUGGGACUGAGACACGGCCCAGACUCCUACGGGAGGCAGCAGUAGGGAAUCUUCGGCAAUGGGGGCAACCCUGACCGAGCAACGCCGCGUGAGUGAAGAAGGUUUUCGGAUCGUAAAGCUCUGUUGUAAGUCAAGAACGGGUGUGAGAGUGGAAAGUUCACACUGUGACGGUAGCUUACCAGAAAGGGACGGCUAACUACGUG